GGCUUGGUAGCGUAGUGGUAACGCGCUCCGUGUUACUAAUUUAUAUAUCAGUUGACGGAAAGUCCGGAGUUCGAUCCUCCGUCAAGCCA